GUCAGGUUGGCCGAGUGGUCCUAAGGCGCCAGAUUUAAGCUCUGGUUUCCCAAUUGGGAGCGUGGGUUCGAAACCCACACCUGGACA